UAUCAGUAAACCGUCUGCAUACAAGAUGACUUCGAUUAAUCUCCUCGGCCCUCCUAUGUGGUCAGAAAGCGCCUUCAGCAAAAUGAAAAAUAAAAGAAGGCUCAGGUAGUCCACCUGAGCCAGCCCAGUUGUCUGUGUGAAAGACGGGAGUAGGACCACUACGUCGUCGACGGCUAUUCUGCUCUUCUGUAGAAUUGCAGUGAAAGGCUUGAACGCAUUCAUAGGGACACCCGGUUUGGCCACCUGAACAUAACGAUGUACGUAGGUGUUAAGUCAAAAGCUGACUUGGAAGUCGGCGAACACCGCAUAUAGCUGAUUACCAGUGAUAAGUGACCAGUGCUUUCUUAGCGUCGGUCAUGAAGAUCUUGCACGCUGUUUUUGUGGACAUUAUCUCCGGAAUCAAUGCUGCUUCUACGCUUUCUAAGCAGCUGUUCGGCUUAUUAGUUAACAAGAGGAGAGCAGCCUUUGUUCGAUGUUUUCUACCAAAUAACAGCGUGGUUGGGUCGCCCUUCUUUUCAGAGAUCACUAACAGGGCAGCAUCUCUACACUGUGCUGGGAAUGUACCAGUAAGUAAACGUUUAUUAAACAGUGCCAUCCAGAACGGUGCCAAAGCAACGGCGCAUUUGAGAUGUUUGUUGUAGAUCCUAUCUGGGCCGGUGACUUUUUCGUUGAGUAAGGUCCCAAGAACUUCCAUCCUGUCCCGCACCUUGAAGCUGUGUUAAGGGAUAUCACGUUGUAUUGUUGCUACAGCGAAAAAGGACACUGUGCACGGUAUCCCAUCUCCAGAAAUCGCAAACACAUUUGAGAAAUUAUUUAUGAGGGCUGACGAGUUAACCAGCCACUGAGCUACCAUGGUGCGUUAACCGCCUGUAUCAUUUAAGUUCUCUAUUGGCGACUGAAGCUGUCCAGCCAUUCAAGUUAUUGUUUCCGUUACGAUGUAUAUGUUUUUCUCCGAAGUGUCUUAAGAAUUGGUGCUGAAGGGUAAAACUCGGGCUAUACCUCGGCUAAUCGGCUGGACAGGCUAUAGACUAAAAAUCCACAACCAGUUGCUAAGCAUAAGUUUCAGUACUCGUCGUGUCAAGUUCGAGAAAAGCUUUGUAAGUGUGUUCCAGAAACUUGUCUACAUGUAGGCUUCAUGAUAGAACUUGGCAUUUGACGGUCCGCGUCGAUGGAACUUGCAGUGAGGCUUAUCGCCAUCGGUAUAUGGACAUGGACGUUUGCGCUUUCUGAGAGAAAAUGAUUUUCACCCUGGAAUUUCCUUCUACUUCUGGUUGCGUUCGUCGCAAAUAGAUUGAUAAUUGAACUUCCUGCAUGUCCUAUAAAAAUCGGUGUUAAGGUAGGAUUGAUCAUCGGCAAUGGCCAGAGAGAGGCAGAAUGAGAGAAUGGAGCCUUCAACCGACUGACGAGGUUCUCCAUCAGUACGCACGUCAGUCCUGAUUUUGAUUUGAACAUAGAUUGCUACUAGAUUUAGCCGCUGGCCAUUGAUUCCCUACUACUCAGAUCGCCUUUCUUAUGAUAGUAGAAAACGGAGACGCCCUCAUUACGACUGCAUGGUCCAUCGGUUUUUAGCGUACGUCAGCGUACACAAUAGAAAUGACAUAAGUUAAAAAAAUCUAGUUUCCCAAGUCUUCGUUAGCAUACGUGUCUAUGCCGUCCAGGGCUUCGGCAGAAAGAUGCACCGGCAGUGCGGUCCCCGAAGAUUCUGCUAUGCAGCUUUUAACGUCUUCUCAAAGUCCAGUUUCACUGUAAGAUCCGGAAUGUCCUCGCGGGCGCCUGUGGUAAUUCAAUGGUGUCGCGUACUGGGGCCAGCCCACCGGUACUGCUGGAACAUGCUUCACGAAGUCCUCGAUCGCCGGGACGGGCAAGUGUAACUACGGGCCUGUUGGUCGUAGCCCGAGUGAUCGAACUGGUCUGCGUGACCCAUCGCCGGCUUUUUCCACCACUGGCGUUGUUUAUUAUGACGAGAGAAAGGUUGGGCUGCUCGAGGGUUUUUUGGAAAUGUUCCGUAUUUCACAAUCAACCACCAUCACCAAAAGCUACAUGCUUCUACUUUGCUUUUAAGUUUGACAUUUGUCCUUCCAGUUCCAUCAGUCGAUAAUACAGAAGCGCAACGAGACCCCCUAAUUCAUUCUCCAACUUACACAUUUUUCAAAUAGUUCACAAACUCUUCUGUUGACUAGUCUGAUACUGGUACUAAGCAUGCCGUUAGAACGCCGCCAUUUACCUGCUGGAUCAGUUCUUAGAGUAGCGAUCUGACAAGCGACAUGUAUUCAUCUGUUACUCAUCGGGCGACAUACAUGGACACUGCCUUAGGUACAGUUGUUGCACACCAUUCGCAAACAUUAAUGAUGCGUAGUCAUGAUUCAUUCGGACAUAGUGAUUGUAGAAUAGAGAACAGAGUUGUUUCCGAGUGUUGGCGUAUGCCACGACAAAUGUAAGCUGUAUAUCAUUUGUUGUUGCCGUUAUCCUGUGUUAUUGUGUUAAGUAUAGGCCGGCGUAAUUCGCGCUAUCCCGUCAUAUAAGGGGCACUCGGAAUGGCUUAAUAGUGUAUUCGUGGGUGGACUGCACUCGAUCAACGGGACCAGCUGCCUUCCACUCUUUUAGUUCAAGGAAUGGGUGUGUAGAUGUUCUUGCAAGGUCGAUCAGCAGAUUCUCAAAACGCCGCUUGCCCAUAAUCCCACGAGAAUAGCAGGAAUCCUGGGGUAUAUGAAAUGCAGACGGCUCGACUGAACCUACGAGGCCUAAGAAGGUUCAGCAGCACUUCCUAAAAAGGCAUAUCGGCCAAGAAGCACACGCACGUACAACUACAGCACUCAUCAGUCAGCUGAUAUAAAUGUCUGAUGUAAAUCAUCGAAUCGGGUUUAUUUUUUUUUUUAUGUUGAAAUACUUUAUCAUUUUCGUUAGUUGAAUUGAAAGCUGUUUAAGGGAGGAUGUGUAUUUCUUCAUAGUCUACCUGUUUGCUACUUGUUGUUACUAUAUCUAGCUAUGGCUUUCGUUUCGUCUACUUUUCUUAGAUCUACUAUCUUUUCGUAAUCAAAAUCUUGAUAGAUCAGAGUUUAGCAUAGGUAUAAGCAUAAGUGGCAUGAUUUCUACGGGAUGCGGAUAACGAUCCUGAAGAUGUUUAAUAGUGGCGCUUGAAGAUGUUUUUGCGGUGCUAGCACAAUGUGACGAAUCGAUUGCCGCACUUCAAAAACAAAAAAGAAAAUGGCGAACACUGCGUUAGUGCGUGGUCAGAUGUCGAUAGCAUUGGAAAUAGUAACAAUAAAGCUAAUUAUAAUUCAGCAGAUUCACAGUGGCUUCUAUUAUCUAGGAUUUGUUCGCACGAGGAAUGUAGCUUCGGGUGUAGUUUGCCUAAAGAGUAAUCCAGAUUAGGUUGCUGUACGAACGAAGACGGAGGAACUGAUGACGACUUAGACUCAGUUCGCUCGAGUCGCUCUGCGAUAUAUAUACAACUCCACAUUAAUCAAUCGCGCGAUAGAACGCUCACGAUCCAAUAUAUUCGGCCUUAUUAUGAGUAAGCUCACUGACGGCCGAAACGCUGGUGACGGUUUAUGCAAGCUUCAUUUACUAUUUCAUGUUAUGACGUUUGUCGGCCACGAUGCCUUCGCGCUGUUUAUUGUCAUAUUGCGGCCGCCACUGAUGCCCUGAGUGACUCCUGCGCCACUGCUAUAUCACAGCGGGUAAACAUAGGGGUUGCCGAGAUGGGA
rnacentral:lncRNA from 1 species